rnacentral:lncRNA from 1 species
GGAAGGCCAUCACCAUCUUCCAGGAGCGAGAUCCCGCUAACAUCAAAUGGGGUGAUGCUGGUGCUGAGUAUGUCGUGGAGUCUACUGGCGUCUUCACCACCAUGGAGAAGGCUGGGGCUCACCUGAAGGGUGGGGCCAAAAAGGUCAUCAUCUCCACCCCUUCCGCUGAUGCCCCCAUGUUUGUGAUGGGUGUGAACUACGAAAAAUAUGACAACUCCCUCAAGAUUGUCAGCAAUGCAUCCUGCACCACCAACUGCUUAGCCCCCCUGGCCAAGGUCAUCCAUGACAACUUUGGCAUCAUGGAAGAGCUCAUGACCACAGUCCAUGCCAUCACUGCCACUCAGAAGACUGUGGAUGGCCCCUCUGGAAAG